rnacentral:piRNA from 1 species
UUUUUGAGUAAAUAUCAUAGG